rnacentral:sRNA from 1 species
UCAAUAUGGGAAAGACCCUGUCAUUUUCAUAUGAUUAAGGGUACUUCUCAGGCCAUAGCUUUCGACAGCCCGAUUGGCAGCUCGAAAACCAUCUCCGUAUGCCUCAGAUGAAUCCGUUUCGAUCUGAUGUUUGAUGAAUGCUCCGAGCUUCUUCUCGAAUUCGGUCUUUGCGCCCUUCUUUGAUGUGGUUGGAGUUGAAGAUGACGACGACGAAGAUGCCACUGAGGUGGCUGAUAUGUCGAUACUAGAACCAAAGAUGAUCUCUGACUCGAGCCACAUGUGGGAAAGAACUUGGCAUAUGCCUUCUUCAACCUGAGGACUAAGAGACCGAAAUCCUAGAGAGAGAGAAAAAAAAGAUGAAAAACUAAAACUUAUACAAUGUACCUCGGCAACCCAUAUAAUAUCAGGAUUGCAGUCACUUCACAUCGUCUUUCCAGCUUAUAUGGUGCUGUGAUCAUAUCUAUAAUUCUGUUUCCCGGUCCAAUUAUUGGCGGUAUUUAACUCACCGUUCUGACAAUUUGCUCUUCAGAAAGACAUAGUCCCCUUGUUUCAGGAAGAUGAUGCCCCUGAGAUGACAGAAAUUGAAAACCUUCCUCAUUUAGAGCCUGUCUCUCAACCAAGAGUAUUGGAACUUGUUGCUCCACUUUCAUGUUCAGACCUUCAAAAAAUUCCUGAAUGUCCAUAUACAGCUGUUGACACUCUGGUGUAUCCAUUAUUGAAGAAUUGAGACAUUCCAAGCAGAGUUUCCUCCCAUCAUCUAAUGUGAUGAUCUAGAUCCCUGCACUGACCUCCAUUCUUUCACAACUGCAACACCUAGGAGUGCCAUCAUCUUCAUGGGAAGGACAGUACUUUUGCAUCCAGAAUGGAUGUGCUCGGUAUUCGAUCAGCCCAUUCCUGUUCGUUGGAAUCUGUUUCUUGCAGACAUCACAUUUUGGAUGGAAAAAAUCUUUGUAGCAUGAUUUGUGGUAUGGCUGAUCUUCAUGCAUAGCAAACUGAAAUAGAAGAAAAUAAAGAUGGGCUUGUUACAAGCAAAACACCUGAAGCACUGAGGAUGCCAUACUGAAUCCAUACAGCUAAGAAAACGUCCAUGACCAAUUGGGUUUUUGCAUCCAGCACAAGUUCUGCAAAAUCGGGAAUGAAAAAAAAAAGGACUGUAGCUCUCUCUUGGGGGCUCUGAUGGAACAUUCUCAACAGGAAUAUUCUGACGUGGAGGAGAGUCAGCAUUAAGGCUCUCCUGGAGAGCUCGUGCAAGUUGUUCAUCUUCCUCCAAAUUAUAAUCGAUAUCAACAGCUUUUCCCUUAUUUUGUUCUUCUGAUAAAGACAGUGCAAUAGCACGAUCUAUAUCUUCAUUAUCACUUUCAU